UACGUAGGGUGCAAGCGUUGUCCGGAAUUAUUGGGCGUAAAGAGCUCGUAGGCGGCCUGUCGCGUCGGCUGUGAAAUCCCGAGGCUCAACCUCGGGUCUGCAGUCGAUACGGGCAAACUAGAGUAUUGCAGGGGAGACUGGAAUUCCUGGUGUAGCGGUGAAAUGCGCAGAUAUCAGGAGGAACACCGGUGGCGAAGGCGGGUCUCUGGGCAAUAACUGACGCUGAGGAGCGAAAGCGUGGGGAGCGGACAGG
rnacentral:rRNA from 1 species